UGCAAGUCGAACGGUGAUCCUCAGCUUGCUGGGGUGAUUAGUGGCGAACGGGUGAGUAACACGUGAGUAACCUGCCCUUCACUCUGGGAUAACUCCGGGAAACCGGUGCUAAUACUGGAUAUGACCUAUUCGCGCAUGCGAUGUGGGUGGAAAGAUUUAUUGGUGGAGGAUGGACUCGCGGCCUAUCAGCUUGUUGGUGAGGUAAUGGCUCACCAAGGCGACGACGGGUAGCCGGCCUGAGAGGGCGAUCGGCCACACUGGGACUGAGACACGGCCCAGACUCCUACGGGAGGCAGCAGUGGGGAAUAUUGCACAAUGGGCGAAAGCCUGAUGCAGCGACGCCGCGUGAGGGAUUAAGGCCUUCGGGUUGUAAACCUCUUUCAGCAGGGAAGAAGUGCCUGGGUUUUCUUGGGUGUGACGGUACCUGCAGAAGAAGCACCGGCUAACUACGUGCCAGCAGCCGCGGUAAUACGUAGGGUGCAAGCGUUGUCCGGAAUUAUUGGGCGUAAAGAGCUUGUAGGCGGUUUGUCGCGUCUGCUGUGAAAUUUCGGGGCUCAACCCCGAACUUGCAGUGGGUACGGGCAGACUAGAGUGUGGUAGGGGAGACUGGAAUUCCCGGUGUAGCGGUGAAGUGCGCAGAUAUCAGGAGGAACACCGAUGGCGAAGGCAGGUCUCUGGGCCACUACUGACGCUGAGAAGCGAAAGCAUGGGGAGCGAACAGGAUUAGAUACCCUGGUAGUCCAUGCCGUAAACGGUGGGAACUAGGUGUGGGCCUCAUUCCACGAGGUCCGUGCCGCAGCUAACGCAUUAAGUUCCCCGCCUGGGGAGUACGGCCGCAAGGCUAAAACUCAAAGGAAUUGACGGGGCCCGCACAAGCGGCGGAGCAUGCGGAUUAAUUCGAUGCAACGCGAAGAACCUUACCAAGGCUUGA
rnacentral:rRNA from 1 species